GACGAACGCUGGCGGCGUGCUUAACACAUGCAAGUCGAACGGAAAGGCCCUGCGUUUGUGGGGUGCUCGAGUGGCGAACGGGUGAGUAACACGUGAGUAACCUGCCCUUGACUUUGGGAUAACUUCAGGAAACUGGGGCUAAUACCGGAUAGGAGCUCCUGCUGCAUGGUGGGGGUUGGAAAGUUUCGGCGGGUGGGGAUGGACUCGCGGCUUAUCAGCUUGUUGGUGGGGUAGUGGCUGACCCAGGCUUUGACGGGUAGCCGGCCUGAGAGGGUGACCGGCCACAUUGGGACUGAGCUACGGCCCAGACUCCUACGGGAGGCAGCAGUGGGGAAUAUUGCACAAUGGGCCGAAGCCUGAUGCAGCAACGCCGCGUGCGGGAUGACGGCCUUCGGGUUGUAAACCGCUUUCGCCUGUGACGAAGCGUGAGUGACGGUAAUGGGUAAAGAAGCACCGGCUAACUACGUG
rnacentral:rRNA from 1 species